UCUCUUCACUGCAGGCCCAGGCUGGGAGGCAGCACCAUGUGGCUGAAGCUCAGUGGCCUGUGGAUCCUGGUGACUCGGGCAGGGAGAGCUGGAGGUGCAGGAGGGGUUGGCUGGGAGAGCGAGGUGGCCAGGCUGCAAGACUCACAGAGGCCCCGGGGCGGGGCCUGAGUACUACUGGCCUGUCAGGCUUCCCUCAGCAGCAGGACUAGCAAGCCCUUCCCUGGUCAACACAAGACCCCCAGGAGAGGAGUGAGCUUGUCUUCUCCCCAGGGCGACCCCCAGAACCAGGCUGCACAGGCAGUAUACAGCCAGGUCUCCUCCCUGUGGCCCAGUGGGAGGGGCUGCCCUUGGGGCCUCCUUGGUCCUCCUGCUGGUCAGCUGGGUCUCGGACCCGGGCCCUGCCCACUGUUGGGCCUCCGCCCUCUCACUGCUCAUUUCUGGGCAGCAGGGGUGGCAGCUCCUACUCCCGCCUGCUCUCCUGACCACAGACUUACGGCGCCAUUUACCCACCAAGUCCUCUGAGCCUCCCGGGGAACAGACAGAACCCUGCAAAGGCCUUGCAUACCUUGGGAGCCAAAGUGUGGGCCGUGAGCUGCACCAGCGCUGACCUGGUCAGCCUCCGCAAGGAGAUGAAGCAUGAAGCUCAGUGAGGCUUGGAUCUACCCCCACCCCAGGGAUGCUUCCUGGUCAGACCACCGCCCAGGCCACUUCCCAGCAUCCCACAGUGCCACGAGUCAGAUCCUGUGUGCGUGGACCUGGGCCACUGGGAGGCCACCAUGCAGAUGCUGGGUGGUGUGGGCCCUGUGGACCUGCUGGUGAACAAUGGCGCCAUAGCACUGCUGCAGCCCUUCCCAGAGGUCACCAAGGAGGCCUGUGACAGAUCACAGCCUGGGGCCUGAUGGGUCAUGGAGCACCCAGCUCCAUCGUCAGCAUUUGGCCCAUGCUGCCUUCCCAAUCCCGUGACCUAUGGGACGGCAGCGCCUUCCCAGAAACUCGGACACCCUCCCGGACGCCGGCUACCCAGUCAUCUAGAGCCGCGAUCCCUGCUGCGGCCCCGCCCCACGCGAAAGGCCGCCACGCCCAGGUCCCGGUCCCGCC